UGGGCUUCAUGGAUGAAAGAAAUCUAUGAAUGAACACUAUGCAUACCUGAGUUAAUGAAUUUGGAAGGAUUGAUGGAGAGGUCUUGGAGGGAUUUCUUGAGAUUGACCUUGAUUCUCAAGGGCUAGGAUUUUGUUUUCUUAAGAGAGAAUGUUCUUGAUUUUUGGGGGUGAAUUGAAUAAUGAGUAGCUAAGGACGUUUUUAGGGAUUAAAUCCCACAUCUGGG
rnacentral:lncRNA from 1 species